rnacentral:rRNA from 1 species
UUGGUUGUACCAAAAGUUAAAGGAGGGAUGGGAUUCAAAGACUUGCAACUCUUUAAUCUAGCACUACUCAGCAAGCAUGGGUGGCGCUUGAUGACGAAUCCAAACUCUCUAUGUUCGCGAGUCUUAAAAGGCAGAUAUUUCCACUCCUGUGAUUUCAUGCAAGCCACUGCACCUAAGUUUUCUUCAGCUGUAUGGCGGCUAUAA